ACUCUAAACAACUCCUGAAGAGCAAGGAGGAAAACCUCCACAAUUUUGGGAAGAGUAGGACAGCAGAGGAUUACCUCAGGAAAGGGCACAAGAAACCUGACUAUGGCUAACAAAAUGUACUGAGUCUGAUGGCAUUUUUAAAAAUAUGACUGUUUCUCUCAAGUGACCUCAACUUCAGCAAUAAGUGCUCCCUGGCUAGAAGGUCCUGGGUGGUAGAUGUAUCAAAAGCAAGAUGUGGAC